CGCGGUGAAAACAGUCUUUCGGCAGGUUGCAGAUGAAGGGGUACUUGAGCUCCAGUGACAGAACAGGAACGGCAUACUUUGAUGGACAGAGCGUGUCAAAAAUGCAGUCACCACCACACGUUUUCAUCGAAAAAAGCUUUGACCUGGCUCUCAAAUAAACACGAUACCACGGGCAAAUUCAGGUAAAAGCGAGACGCCCCC